AUGGUUUGUGCUGUUGUUCCGUUGAAUUUUAAUGCGUUCCUAGAGAAAGCUAAGUUGAAAGAUGAUGGUAGAAACUACACAGACUGGGUCCGUAACUUGAGGAUUAUCCUCAUUGCUGCACAAAAGAAUUACAUCCUGGAAGCACCACUAGGUGACAAACCCGCUGCAGGAGCAACGCCAGAUGUUGUGAACACCUGGCAGAGCAAAAAUGAUGACUACUCGAUAGUUCAGUGUGCCAUGCGAUAUGGCUUAGAACCGGGACUUCAACGAUGUUUUGAACGUCAUGGAGCAUAUGAGUUGUUCCAGGAGUUGAAGUUAAUAUUUCAAGCAAAUGCCCGGAUUGAGAGAUAUGAAGUCUCCAAUAAGUUCUACAGCUGCAAAAUGGAGGAGAAUAGUUCUGUUAGUGAACAUAUACUCAGAAUGUCUGGGUACCACAACCACUUGACUUAG
rnacentral:rRNA from 1 species